UGGGGAAUCUUGGACAAUGGGGGCGAACCCUGAUCCAGCCAUGCCGCGUGAGUGAUGAAGGCCUUAGGGUCGUAAAGCUCUUUCGCCUGUGAAGAUAAUGACGGUAGCAGGUAAAGAAACCCCGGCUAACUCCGUGCCAGCAGCCGCGGUAAUACGGAGGGAACUAGCGUUGUUCGGAAUUACUGGGCGUAAAGCGCGCGUAGGCGGCUUGGUAAGUAGAGGGUGAAAUCCCGGAGCUCAACUCCGGAACUGCCCCUCAAACUGCCGAGCUAGAAUCCUGGAGAGGUGAGUGGAAUUCCUAGUGUAGAGGUGAAAUUCGUAGAUAUUUGGAGGAACACCAGUGGCGAAGGCGGCUCACUGGCUCGAUACUGACGCUGAGGUGCGAAAGUGUGGGGAGCAAACAGGAUUAGAUACCCUGGUAGUCCACACCGUAAACGAUGAAUGCCAGUCGUCGGGUAGCAUGCUAUUCGGUGACACACCUAACGGAUUAAGCAUUCCGCCUGGGGAGUACGGUCGC
rnacentral:rRNA from 1 species